rnacentral:lncRNA from 1 species
UUGGCGGCUUAAUUAUAUCAAGGGCAGAUCCAGCCAUUUAUAAGAGGGGGCUUUCCAUGUUGAAGGGGGGGUUCUAACUAUAUGUCAACAUUCAAAUGCAUUGAUCGUCAGAACAAAAGGGGGAGGUUCCAACCCCUAAAACCUUCCACCUUGAUCUGCCACUCCAUAUGAAUCUUUAAUACUUUAAAAGGUUUCCCCGUUUAUCUUCAAUUUAAGUUUUAAUGGCAG